GCCUGAACAGACUCGCAGA
rnacentral:snRNA from 1 species